rnacentral:rRNA from 1 species
UACGUAGGUGACAAGCGUUAUCCGGAUUUAUUGGGCGUAAAGCGCACGCAGGCGGCUGAUUAAGUCUGACGUGAAAUCUCUCGGCUUAACCGGGAGCGGUCGUUGGAAACUAAUCGGCUUGAGGCGAUGAGAGGGGUGUGGAAUUCCCGGUGUAGUGGUGGAAUGCGUAGAUAUCAGGAAGAACACCCGUGGCGAAGGCGGCUCUCUGGGACGGUAUUGACGCUGAGACGCGAAAGCGUGGGGAGCGAACAGG